CGGGGCUGCUGGGUCUUCCAGGAGCGCGCAUGAGCGGACGCUGCCUACGGGUGGCCGGGAGGGAUGUAACUGGCUGCUGAGCUGGCAGUUCUGUGUCGCUAGGCUUCGGCCGGGCAGCCGCCCCACAUAAGCUGCGAGGAGGAGCUUUACGACUUCCCGGUCUUCGGGGCCGGGCGCAGCAAGGGCCAGACUCUGCGCUAGCAGGCGCUGCCCGCCAACCGGCCGGCACCUGUCGCAGAAGGUGCAACCGAUCGCACUGUCGCGCAGAAGCUCCUCAAUGGCCAGCGCCAGCUGCAGCCCCGGCCGCCCACUCGCCUCACCUGAGCCUGGGAGUUUGAAAAAUCACAUUUGAGAAGAGGAUUGGAUCCUAGCCAUAACAUAAAUAUAAGGGUGGAACCAAAGUUUUAAUCAAAGAAGGUGAUGUUCAGUUGCUGCUUACGAUAGUUGAUACCCCAGGAUUUGGAGAUGCAGUGGAUAAUAGUAAUUGCUGGCAGCCUGUUAUCAAUUACAUUGAUAGUAAAUUUGAGGACUACCUAAAUGCAGAAUCACGAGUGAACAGAUGUCAGAUGCCUGGUAACAGGGUGCAGUGUUGUUUAUACUUCAUUGCUCCUUCAGGACAUGGACCAUUACAUAACUGAAGACUCCCACCUUCAGGCAGGAUUGGGUAGUACGUGUUUGUAACUACCUGGCAUUGCCUUUUGUUGAGGAAGGGUAGAUGUCUACCCAAAUGGAAUAUUGAGUAUCAGAGACUUCAAAUGAUAACUUUUGUUUGUUUGGAGAAAAUCUUGAGGACGUGAUCACUGUACAAAAGCAUGGCAAAAUGAGGAAACCACUGACAGGUGAAGAAUUUGCACAAUGGAAAACCACCUUGACCAUCUCAUGACUUUAUACAGGAAUCGGAGUAUCAGAAGCUAAGUCUCUUCUCUAGCACCUCCUUCAGGGACCGUGAGCUCCUUGGGGUCACUGCUCUGUCUCCACAGCAGAGCACGGUACCUAACAUGUGGCAGGACUCAAUAAAAGACAUCCAAGGCCAUUCCAUUUCUAGAUCACACUUAUCCCUCAAUCAAGUCAGUGACUGGAUCAUCUCCUAAGGUUUCACCUGCUUUGCAUCAGUGAGUUGGACUAUGGAUCAGGUACUGUGCUCAGCAUCAGAAAAUGGGAUGACAAUGAACAGAGUAACACGACUAUAUUUCUGAAAAAGGAUGAACUUACUGGAAACAGGAUUGCGUGCCUGAAAUAGACCCAAAUGGAUAUAAAUGUCAACUCAGUUCUGGGCUGGAGAUAUAGAUUUGGAAUGCACCAACAAUGCAGAUGGUAAUCCUGGCAUGCGAGUAGGUGAGAUCAUCCGGGGAGAUGGCCUAUAAUGAGAGCCUAUA
rnacentral:lncRNA from 1 species